AACGAACGCUGGCGGCAGGCUUAACACAUGCAAGUCGAACGCAUCGCAAGAUGAGUGGCAGACGGGUGAGUAACGCGUGGGAACAUACCCUUUUCUACGGAAUAGCUCUGGGAAACUGGAAUUAAUACCGUAUACGCCCUACGGGGGAAAGAUUUAUCGGGGAAGGAUUGGCCCGCGUUGGAUUAGCUAGUUGGUGGGGUAAAGGCCUACCAAGGCGACGAUCCGUAGCUGGUCUGAGAGGAUGAUCAGCCACAUUGGGACUGAGACACGGCCCAAACUCCUACGGGAGGCAGCAGUGGGGAAUAUUGGACAAUGGGCGCAAGCCUGAUCCAGCCAUGCCGCGUGAGUGAUGAAGGCCUUAGGGUUGUAAAGCUCUUUCACCGAUGAAGAUAAUGACGGUAGUCGGAGAGGAAGCCCCGGCUAACUUCGUGCCAGCAGCCGCAGUAA
rnacentral:rRNA from 1 species